AUUGAACGCUGGCGGCAUGCCUUACACAUGCAAGUCGAACGGUAACAGGUCUUCGGAUGCUGACGAGUGGCGAACGGGUGAGUAAUAGAUCGGAACGUGCCUAGUAGUGGGGGAUAACUACUCGAAAGAGUGGCUAAUACCGCAUGAGAUCUACGGAUGAAAGCAGGGGAUCGCAAGACCUUGUGCUACUAGAGCGGCCGAUGGCAGAUUAGGUAGUUGGUGGGAUAAAAGCUUACCAAGCCGACGAUCUGUAGCUGGUCUGAGAGGACGAUCAGCCACACUGGGACUGAGACACGGCCCAGACUCCUACGGGAGGCAGCAGUGGGGAAUUUUGGACAACGGGCGAAAGCCUGAUCCAGCAAUGCCGCGUGCAGGAUGAAGGCCUUCGGGUUGUAAACUGCUUUUGUACGGAACGAAAAGCCCCGGGUUAAUACCCUGGGGUAAUGACGGUACCGUAAGAAUAAGCACCGGCUAACUACGUGCCAGCCGCCGCCGUAA
rnacentral:rRNA from 1 species